rnacentral:rRNA from 1 species
GACGAACCGUGCGAACGUUGUUCGGAAUCACUGGGCUUAAAGGGCGCGUAGGCGGGCUGUCAAGUCUGGGGUGAAAUCCCGCGGCUCAACCGUGGAACUGCCUUAGAUACUGACGGCCUCGAGGGAGGUAGGGGCAUGCGGAACUGUAGGUGGAGCGGUGAAAUGCGUUGAUAUCUACAGGAACUCCGGUGGCGAAAGCGGCGUGCUGGACCUCUUCUGACGCUGAGGCGCGAAAGCUAGGGGAGCGAAUGGG